UGCAGUCGAGCGGUAGAGAGAAGCUUGCUUCUCUUGAGAGCGGCGGACGGGUGAGUAAUGCCUAGGAAUCUGCCUGGUAGUGGGGGAUAACGUUCGGAAACGGACGCUAAUACCGCAUACGUCCUACGGGAGAAAGCAGGGGACCUUCGGGCCUUGCGCUAUCAGAUGAGCCUAGGUCGGAUUAGCUAGUUGGUGAGGUAAUGGCUCACCAAGGCGACGAUCCGUAACUGGUCUGAGAGGAUGAUCAGUCACACUGGAACUGAGACACGGUCCAGACUCCUACGGGAGGCAGCAGUGGGGAAUAUUGGACAAUGGGCGAAAGCCUGAUCCAGCCAUGCCGCGUGUGUGAAGAAGGUCUUCGGAUUGUAAAGCACUUUAAGUUGGGAGGAAGGGUUGUAGAUUAAUACUCUGCAAUUUUGACGUUACCGACAGAAUAAGCACCGGCUAACUCUGUGCCAGCAGCCGCGGUAAUACAGAGGGUGCAAGCGUUAAUCGGAAUUACUGGGCGUAAAGCGCGCGUAGGUGGUUUGUUAAGUUGGAUGUGAAAUCCCCGGGCUCAACCUGGGAACUGCAUUCAAAACUGACUGACUAGAGUAUGGUAGAGGGUGGUGGAAUUUCCUGUGUAGCGGUGAAAUGCGUAGAUAUAGGAAGGAACACCAGUGGCGAAGGCGACCACCUGGACUAAUACUGACACUGAGGUGCGAAAGCGUGGGGAGCAAACAGGAUUAGAUACCCUGGUAGUCCACGCCGUAAACGAUGUCAACUAGCCGUUGGAAGCCUUGAGCUUUUAGUGGCGCAGCUAACGCAUUAAGUUGACCGCCUGGGGAGUACGGCCGCAAGGUUAAAACUC
rnacentral:rRNA from 1 species